CGAGAGGACCGGAGUGGACGCAUCACUGGUGUUCGGGUUGUCAUGCCAAUGGCACUGCCCGGUAGCUAAAUGCGGAAGAGAUAAGUGCUGAAAGCAUCUAAGCACGAAACUUGCCCCGAGAUGAGUUCUCCCUGACUCCUUGAGAGUCCUGAAGGAACGUUGAAGACGACGACGUUGAUAGGCCGGGUGUGUAAGCGCAGCGAUGCGUUGAGCUAACCGGUACU
rnacentral:rRNA from 1 species